rnacentral:misc_RNA from 1 species
CCCCGCGCCGCGCCAUCUUCGUCAACGCAGAACACACAUACGCAUUCCGACACUGGUAGGCACCGCUGCUCUACCCCAGCACCGCCUCUCUCUCAUCUGCGCACGUGUGCACUCCUUCGUCCGCGCCACGGACUCUCGCACACGCUUGCCUCGAUACUUCUUUCCCACAGGUGAACUGACGGGCAAAAGCGGGAAGGGCGUGGAGUACAGUGGAAGAGACGGCGAGUAGCGGCGCACCGAGCCCGACAGCGAGGGGAAGAGGCGUGAGGAGACGUGGCUCUCCACAGUGCACCACCAAGGUCGCUCGCACGGGGCACAAGCACACAGUGACACUGGCUUCCCCACGAACACAUUACUGAACACGCCUCGUUGCAUCAAACACGCAUGUCUCGACGCACAUUUUUUGAGGGCAUGCGCCAGGAGGCCCGCGACCGCGGUGGGUACGACAGCGGGGGCAGUUGCUGCAGCGCCGCAGACCCCAGCGACGCAGGAAGGGCAACCGCUGCAGCGGCUGCCAAACGGUCGAACCCGCACGAAGAUCUCGUGCAUGUGCUUGACAGGCCGGAGCACUGCUCUGCUGCUGCUGGUAUUGCUGGUGGGGAUGCAGCACCGUUGUCGCCCUCUAUCUCACCGCUCACGGGCCCACCCAGCGGUGCUCCGGACAGCGAUUACGGCGAGGUGUUGAGCCCCUCAGAGUGGUGGAAGCACCGACACCGUGAUGACGUGGCUCGAGUCUCGACCGCCUUAGGCCAGCCUCAAACCUUUUCACCACCGCCCCAGGCUCCUCUCACUGCGCCGCACAACGAUACCCAGCAGCAGCACCAGCACACGCAUUUAAGGCAGGAGCACAGGGACGCUGCCAGCAGCAGCAGCGGCGGCGGAAGCAGCGGUUGUUUCCACUCCAACCAGCGCCACCUUGACGAAGAGCACGAUGCUCAUCACCUCCACGCGCACCCGCGCCUUUCCCCGGAUGCCGGCUUCAAGUUUGGUCAUGACGAUGCGCCGUUCAGCCAAAACAGCUCCUUCACUACGGCCGCCGCUGCUUCUGCAGCUCGCCGCCAGUCAGCCACUGACCGUGCGCGUCGCACCAGUUGUUCCGUCAGUAGCAUAGCCGAUCUUUAUCGGCAUGCGGACCGCAGUGCAAGCGCGCCGCGGCGGUUCUCGCUGGGGCGAUCCAGCUCGACACAGUCUCGUAAGUAUAUCGACUCCACAUUGUCCUCGGCAGUGCACCGGGCGGGGGCGCGACAGGACCGGUGUGGCAGCAUCACUCGCGUGGAGGCUUCACUAGUUGCACUGCAAGUCGAGUUGGCGGCCGAGAAACGCAACAACAUUGAGGCGGAGCACCACAUCACUACACUGAACCGCGAAGUGAAGCGUCUGCGGGAGGAGAAUGCGCGCUUGUCACGCGAGGUGGCGGUUGCCGCGACUGCUGCCCACGGCGCAUCCGCACCGCCCCACUCGGUCGCACCCGGCGGCGGUGCGGACGGUGCUGGGGCGGCUUACUCGUCUUCGACAGCGCAGGCGAAUUCGGAUGCGGUGACGGCGGAGAAGCGGAUCGAAGUCCUCGAGGCGCGUCUCGGUGAGCUGUCGCGUAACAUGGAGACGAAGCUGCGUGAGCUGGACACAAAAGACGAGCGCAUUCGUCUGCUGGAGCACAAGCUCGCGGACCAGCUGCUGCUGUACUCGGGGAUGAGUUACAUGGGGGAAGUGUCCACAAACCCUCCUCAGGCUCUGCAGCCGGCCAUGAUGGUGCGGCACAACUCAGCGACGGCGUCAACACAUCAGCAGCAGCGCCGGCCGAGCCGCACGAGGCAGAAGGACAGUGAAAGGGUGAGCAGCGUCGGAGCCCACGCGUCGCCUUCGCGGCUGUACUGGCAGGCGCAGGCGCCGGACACAACGCUGGCGGGUCCAAAGGUGAGCGCCAUCCGAUCAGUGAGCGUGCACAACCUGCACGUUGGUCAGAGCGACAACGGCGGCAGCGCCGGCCCGCGGUUGAUUUCGCGGGAGCAAGCUAGCAGCACUUGCAAUCAUGUGCGCCACAGCGAUGACGCCGGCGCGUGGGGGGAGGGGGCGCCCACUGACGCAGGGCCGCAGCCGUCCGCUUUUUUGCUGCGGGAGUCCCAGCCCGAUGCUAGGGUGAACCGUCCGCUAAGCGCCACGAGGGACCUUCGCCAACAAACGCCGCGCACCUCCAGUUUGCGACGUCGCCCUUACUCGACAGCUUCCCAACCGGGCAGCAGCGACCUUUCUGCAGGGACUCGACCAGCCGCCCGCACGCACAGCUCGGUCAGGCGGCGAUACAGCCGUGACGCAUUUGGCUCGGCUGGCCACGCUGACGGUGACGCCGCUGGUAGAAGAGCGAGCGGCUUGGAGAAAGCACACCCUCCCGACCGCUCGGGAUCGGCAAGCGCUCCUCGGCGCCCGUCCGUGCAGCGGCGCACGUCCACCUCGUCGCUGCGCUCCGCCAGGACUGUGACCCGCGCAGACAGCCAGCGUGCAUCUUCUCGCCGCAAUUCGGCAGCGUCGCCGGCUCGCCGCAACUCCGGCAACAUAACCAUCGGCAGCCACCCGAUGCGCCUGAGCGUCGGUGCCAGCGCUGGUGGAGAUGCGCGUUUUCCAUCGCCCGGCAGUCCCGCUUGCGGCAGAGCGCAGUCCAUUUUCCUAUCGAACGGCUCCACGGCGCGCCGCGGGUCGGCGACCCGUUCUGUAGCGCAGCAGAGCGUGCGCUCUGGGACGUCUACCCGCUCUCGCCCGCAGAUUACGUACAGUGCUGACAACGAGUCGGCAACGAUCAAGGGGUCGACGACGACAGUGGUGUUUCGAAGCGGCAAUGCCACCAACGCCGGCGCCCACUCUUACUACCGGGGCAACUCCUACGCUCGAGAUGGCGCCCCGCUGCUACCCUCUCGCUUGACCGCCUCUGGUCCGGUAGUGGCGCCGGGCGACGCGAGAACGGGUGCAGCUGUCGAUCUCCCGUAAGACAGAGGCCCGAAGCGAGAGGCAGUUGAUGGCUGACAAGGGGAGGCGGUUGUCCAGCGCUGUAGCGUGUUGACGUGUGAGGGCGCACGUGUCUUGCAUCGCACCAUUAUGCCUGUGGGGCGAAGGAGUGGUGCAGUGGGUUUGCAAACAUCCAGAGGGAGGAGGACUGGGGCGGGGACUCUGCGUGCGUGAAGGUGCAAAGAAGACAGACGUGAACAUCCUUACGGACUGGCGUGUGAUCACAUGCCCCUGGGAACGCUGAGUACACUUCAGCGUGGCAUCUGAGGGUCCCGCACCCAGCUCUCCGUGUGGAAGGCGGCCGAGCAGCCCCCCUCCCCCUGCUGUAUCCCUGCCAAAUGCCGAACCGCCUGCGGUGCGGACAUGGCCAAGUGCCGACGACGUGUGGGAGGUCUGGGCGCCGUGUGGGAGCGACGUGUGGGGCGGGUGGUGGGUGGGUGGAGCUUGCGGCAGGGGGUCGUGCUCUCCGAUGCCUGAGCCGGCGCAUUGCUGGAAGGCGUGCGUCCAGGGCUGCGUCGCACGACGCGAUGGGCGACCUGUGGCAACGCGUGUUGCUCGGCGCCAUGUCGAAUGACAGAGGGACCGGUCACAGCUGGGAGGCGAACGUCGUUCACUUCAGGAUUGAUUUCACCCCACACCUCCUCUCUCGUGUGAUGCUCGGUUUUCGGAUCGCUGUGAGGUUUCACCUGCGAAUCUCCCACCGUUCUCCCUGCUCUACCCGCAUGCCCAAACGCGUCGCCCUUUCCUCUCAGCUGCGACACCUCUCGUGAGAGGUGUGCGCUGCAUGUUGUGUGCGGCGGGCGGUGCAGGUCGACUUUGGAUGUGUCGGCCUCGCCUCUUCGUGCGGCAUCUCGCUUUCGAAGUGUUUCUGCUGUAUGAGUAUUGUGUUUUGCGUGUUGCGAUGUAACAUGAGAACCGUCCCUGAUGUGCUUACCGUAUCGCCGCCUCACUCUAUCCCCCCUGCCCUCCGUCUGCUGCUGGUAUAGCGACUCCAUGCAUGCGGAUACGUAGGCGUGCCCACAGGCACAUAUUUUCCUCACCACCGCCAAUGACGGAGAUGUGGAAAGCAGAAAAGGUCGCAGCUCACCGUUUGGGGAGACCCCGCCCCUACUCACUCCCACCGCCAUGGGCCUGCGCGUCUCCUGCCCUCCUCCUUCGCUGUUUUUCUUGCUGCUCUGCCUGACAUAUGACGACCCUGCCUUUCCCCGCUCUGCUCACUCCUCGCUGCACGCGGCAUCCUGCGCACCUUUGUCAG